rnacentral:rRNA from 1 species
AGGGUUUGAUCCUGGCUCAGGACGAACGCUGGCGGCGUGCUUAACACAUGCAAGUCGAACGAGAAUUAAGGAAAAGAAUCUUCGGAAGAUUUUCCUUGAGGACAGUGGCGGACGGGCGAGUAACGCGUGAGUAACCUACCUUGUACUGGGGGACAACAUCGGGAAACUGGUGCUAAUACCGCAUAAAACCAUAGUAUCGCAUGAUACAUUGGUCAAAGCUCCGGCGGUACAAGAUGGACUCGCGUCCAAUUAGCUAGUUGGUGAGGUAACGGCUCACAAAGGCGACGAUUGGUAGCCGAACUGAGAGGUUGAUCGGCCGCAUUGGGACUGAGACACGGCCCAGACUCCUACGGGAGGCAGCAGUGGGGAAUAUUGCACAAUGGAGGAAACUCUGAUGCAGCAACGCCGCGUGAAGGAUGAAGGUUUUCGGAUUGUAAACUUCUUUGAUUGGGGAAGAACUAAGACGGUACCCAAAAAACAAGCCACGGCUAACUACGUGCCAGCAGCCGCGGUAAUACGUAGGUGGCAAGCGUUGUCCGGAAUUACUGGGUGUAAAGGGCGUGUAGGCGGGAGAAUAAGUCAGAUGUGAAAUUCCAAGGCUCAACCUUGGCGGUGCAUCUGAAACUGUUUUUCUUGAGUACUGGAGAGGAAAGUGGAAUUCCUAGUGUAGCGGUGAAAUGCGUAGAGAUUAGGAGGAACACCAGUGGCGAAGGCGGCUUUCUGGACAGUAACUGACGCUGAGACGCGAAAGCGUGGGUAGCAAACAGGAUUAGAUACCCUGGUAGUCCACGCCGUAAACGAUGGAUACUAGGUGUAGGGGGUAUCGACCCCCCCUGUGCCGGAGUUAACACAAUAAGUAUCCCACCUGGGGAGUACGAUCGCAAGAUUGAAACUCAAAGGAAUUGACGGGGGCCCGCACAAGCAGUGGAGUAUGUGGUUUAAUUCGAAGCAACGCGAAGAACCUUACCAGGACUUGACAUCCUCUGACAACCCUAGAGAUAGGGCUUUCCUUCGGGACAGAGUGACAGGUGGUGCAUGGUUGUCGUCAGCUCGUGUCGUGAGAUGUUGGGUUAAGUCCCGCAACGAGCGCAACCCUUGCUAUUAGUUGCCAUCAUUAAGUUGGGCACUCUAAUGGGACUGCCGGUGAUAAAUCGGAGGAAGGUGGGGAUGACGUCAAAUCAUCAUGCCCCUUACGUCCUGGGCUACACACGUACUACAAUGGCGACUACAGAAGGCAGCGAAACCGCGAGGUGGAGCAAAUCCCAAAAAGUCGUCCCAGUUCGGAUUGCAGGCUGAAACUCGCCUGCAUGAAGUCGGAAUUGCUAGUAAUGGCAGGUCAGCAUACUGCCGUGAAUACGUUCCCGGGCCUUGUACACACCGCCCGUCACACCAUGAGAGUUGACAACACCCGAAGCCGGUAGUUUAACUUCGGAGAACGCCGUCGAAGGUGGGGUUGAUGAUUAGGGUGAAGUCGGAACAAGGUA